UACGGGGGGGCAAGCGUUGUUCGGAAUUACUGGGCGUAAAGGGCUCGUAGGCGGCCAACUAAGUCAGACGUGAAAUCCCUCGGCUUAACCGGGGAACUGCGUCUGAUACUGGAUGGCUCGAGUUUGGGAGAGGGAUGCGGAAUUCCAGGUGUAGCGGUGAAAUGCGUAGAUAUCUGGAGGAACACCGGUGGCGAAGGCGGCAUCCUGGACCAACACUGACACUGAAAAGCGAAAGCCAGGGGAGCAAACGGG
rnacentral:rRNA from 1 species